rnacentral:lncRNA from 1 species
UAGACUAAGAUCUCCUACAUUUCUCACCACAUACCUCACCCCUUUCUACUUGAGAUUGUGUGAUUAUUAUAGCGAUAUCAUAAUUCUCAAUACUAAAUUCAUAUAUCAAUACAUACAAUAAUGAAACACCACCAUAGAAUCUCCCCACAAGAUCAUGGAAUUACACUAAACACAUAUAUUACUCAUCAUCAUUACAAUAUCAUACGUGAAUAAACCUAAUAAUACUCUUAGACAUGCAUAACUUACAUUACAUUCUAUCUCAACUGGACAAAGAAGAAGAAAAUUUCAAACAUACACACUGGUACUCAAAGGUGGCACCCAACACUAGACUUCUCGCAAAUGGCGGCAUUCAGCAUCAUUCUUCUUGCAAAAAGAAAUGCUUAGUGACACCCUUUUACCACCCAACAUCUUGUAAAUAAAUUACUCCAAAGCAUUCACAAAACUGAGUGUCCAAUGUCACCCUCUACCACUGCUCAAGCUAUCACAUUCAUAAAAUAGGAUGUCCAGCUUCACCUUGACGUCGCUUAACGCUAUACCAAAUAUUAUAUAUACC